UACGGAGGGGCUAGCGUUGUUCGGAAUUACUGGGCGUAAAGCGCACGUAGGCGGCUUUGCAAGUUAGAGGUGAAAGCCCGGGGCUCAACUCCGGAAUUGCCUUUAAAACUGCAUCGCUAGAAUUGUGGAGAGGUAAGUGGAAUUCCGAGUGUAGAGGUGAAAUUCGUAGAUAUUCGGAAGAAACACCAGUGGCGAAGGACGAACUUUA
rnacentral:rRNA from 1 species